AGUUUGAUCAUGGCUCAGAUUGAACGCUGGCGGCAUGCCUUACACAUGCAAGUCGAACGGCAGCGCGGGGCAACCUGGCGGCGAGUGGCGAACGGGUGAGUAAUAUAUCGGAACGUGCCCUGGAGUGGGGGAUAACGCAGCGAAAGUUGCGCUAAUACCGCAUACGAUCUAAGGAUGAAAGCGGGGGAUUCGCAAGAACCUCGUGCUCCUGGAGUGGCCGAUAUCUGAUUAGCUAGCUGGUGGGGUAAAGGCCUACCAAGGCAUCGAUCAGUAGCUGGUCUGAGAGGACGACCAGCCACACUGGAACUGAGACACGGUCCAGACUCCUACGGGAGGCAGCAGUGGGGAAUUUUGGACAAUGGGCGCAAGCCUGAUCCAGCAAUGCCGCGUGAGUGAAGAAGGCCUUCGGGUUGUAAAGCUCUUUUGUCAGGGAAGAAACGGUGCGGGCUAAUAUCCCGCACUAAUGACGGUACCUGAAGAAUAAGCACCGACUAACUACGUGCCAGCAGCCGCGGUAAUACGUAGGGUGCAAGCGUUAAUCGGAAUUACUGGGCGUAAAGCGUGCGCAGGCGGUUUUGUAAGUUUGUCGUGAAAUCCCCGG
rnacentral:rRNA from 1 species